rnacentral:snoRNA from 1 species
CACCUAUAGAUUGCUUACCCACCAGAUCUACUCUUUGUUCUUAUUGGCUGUAUAAGUAGGGAAAGUAAAACUGAAAUGGACUUGGAUUCCUUUGUGACAUACAAGUUGGCUUCAAACAAAU